CAAAGGUGAGCCAGUACAGGAUGGACCCGCGUCUGAUUAGCUAGUUGGUAAGGUAACGGCUUACCAAGGCGACGAUCAGUAGCCGACCUGAGAGGGUGAUCGGCCACAUUGGAACUGAGACACGGUCCAAACUCCUACGGGAGGCAGCAGUGGGGAAUAUUGCACAAUGGGCGAAAGCCUGAUGCAGCAACGCCGCGUGAGUGAUGAAGGCCUUCGGGUCGUAAAACUCUGUCCUCAAGGAAGAUAAUGACGGUACUUGAGGAGGAAGCCCCGGCUAACUACGUGCCAGCAGCCGCGGUAAUACGUAGGGGGCUAGCGUUAUCCGGAUUUACUGGGCGUAAAGGGUGCGUAGGCGGUCUUUCAAGUCAGGAGUGAAAGGCUACGGCUCAACCGUAGUAAGCUCUUGAAACUGGGAGACUUGAGUGCAGGAGAGGAGAGUGGAAUUCCUAGUGUAGCGGUGAAAUGCGUAGAUAUUAGGAGGAACACCAGUUGCGAAGGCGGCUCUCUGGACUGUAACUGACGCUGAGGCACGAAAGCGUGGGGAGCAAACAGGAUUAGAUACCCUGGUAGUCCACGCUGUAAACGAUGAGUACUAGGUGUCGGGGGUUACCCC
rnacentral:rRNA from 1 species